GACGUAGGGGGCGAGCGUUGUCCGGAUUUAUUGGGCGUAAAGCGCGCGUAGGCGGUUCGUUAAGUCGGGUGUGAAAACCCGGGGCUCAACCCCGGGCCUGCAUCCGAUACUGGCGGACUCGAGGCAGACAGGGGAGAGUGGAAUUCCCGGUGUAGCGGUGAAAUGUGUAGAGAUCGGGAGGAACACCGGUGGCGAAGGCGGGUCUCUGGGCAUCUCCUGACGCUGAGGCGCGAAAGCGUGGGAGCAACGGG
rnacentral:rRNA from 1 species